rnacentral:tRNA from 1 species
GCCCCCGUAGCUCAGCGGAUAGAGCAGUGGUUUCCUAAACCAUGCGCCCAGGUUCGAUUCCUGGCGGGGGUACCA